CCCGAGCGUUGUCCGGAUUUAUUGGGCGUAAAGGGAGCGCAGGCGNUCAGGAAAGUCUGGAGUAAAAGGCUAUGGNUCAACCAUAGUGUGCUCUGGAAACUNUCUGACUUGAGUGCAGAAGGGGAGAGUGGAAUUCCAUGUGUAGCGGUGAAAUGCGUAGAUAUAUGGAGGANCACCAGUGGCGAAAGCGGCUCUCUGGUCUGUCACUGACGCUGAGGCUNGAAAGCGUGGGUAGCGAACAGGAUUAGAUACCCUGGUAGUNCACGCCGUAAACGAUGAGUGCUAGGUGUUAGGCCCUUUCCGGGGCUUAGUGCCGGAGCUAACGCAAUAAGCACUCCGCCUGGGGAGUACGACCGCAAGGUUGAAACUCAAAGGAAUUGACGGGGGCCCGCACAAGCGGUGGAGCAUGUGGUUUAAUUCGAAGCAACGCGAAGAACCUUACCAGGUCUUGACAUCCCGAUGCUAUUCUUAGAGAUAGGAAGUUACUUCGGUACAUCGGAGUCAGGUGGUGCAUGGUUGUCGUCAGCUCGUGUCGUGAGAUGUUGGGUUAAGUCCCGCAACGAGCGCAACCCUUAUUGUUAGUUGCCAUCAUUAAGUUGGGCACUCUAGCGAGACUGCCGGUAAUAAACCGGAGGAAGGUGGGGAUGACGUCAAAUCAUCAUGCCCCUUAUGACCUGGGCUACACACGUGCUACAAUGGUCGGUACAACGAGUUGCGAGCCGGUGACGGCAAGCUAAUCUCUGAAAGCCGAUCUCAGUUCGGAUUGGAGGCUGCAACUCGCCUCCAUGAAGUCGGAAUCGCUAGUAAUCGCGGAUCAGCACGCCGCGGUGAAUACNUCCCCGGGCCUUGUACACACCGCCCGUCACACCACGAGAGUUUGUAACACCCGAAGUCGGUGAGGUANCCUUUUAGGG
rnacentral:rRNA from 1 species